rnacentral:rRNA from 1 species
GCAAGUCGAGGGGUAACAGGGAGAAGCUUGCUUUUCCGCUGACGACCGGCGCACGGGGGCGUAACGCGUAUACAAUCUACCUUAUACUGGGGUAUAGCCUUUAGAAAUGAAGAUUAAUCCCCCAUAGUCUCUUAGAGAGGCCUCAUUUUAGGAGUAAAGGUUACGGUAUAAGAUGAGUAUGCGUUCUAUUAGUUUGUUGGUGGGGUAACGGCUCACCAAGGCGACGAUGGAUAGGCGCCCUGAGAGGGGGAUC